AGGGAUGUAGGUCAGCGGGAGAGCACUUGCUUUGCAUGUAAGAGGCCCUGGGUUCAACACUCAUCAUCUCUA
rfam:Fulmarus glacialis contig90858, whole genome shotgun sequence.